rnacentral:rRNA from 1 species
GAAAAGGAGGGCGGUAAUGCCAGACCUAACGCUAUGAUGAUAGAUUUUCGCAAUUGUUUGCAAGAGUGCGGUCUAGAUGAUAUGGGAUGUAUUGGCGAUCUCUUCACCUGGAGGAGAGGCGAAAUUAGGGAGAUACUUGACCGUGCAGUUUGCAAUGUGGACUGGGCGAAUAAAUUUCCUCGGGCUGCGAUCAUAAAUGAAGAACACGUACACUCUGAUCAUCGACCCCUCAUACUAGAUACAGAUUACUUUGAUGUGAAUAUGUUCAAUCGCCCAAGGGGUCGAGCAAAACAAUUUGAAGCUCGAUGGCUCAAAGAAGAGACAGUUGUAGAAAUUGUACGUACAGCAUGGGAUAAAGCAAAGAUGAUGGGCAUUGGGCCAUCUCUCGCUGAGCGUACACGAGCGGUGCAGGCAGAUCUGCAUAUUUGGGACCGCGAUAUUCUGAAGGGACCGAAAAAAAGAAUUAACAAACUAAAAAAAGAACUAGAAAGGCUGCGGAGGGGACCCAUGUGUGCGGAGUCUCAAGCACGACAAAAGGAGAUUCUUGUCCUCAUUGAAAAUCUGUCAGAACAAGAGGAGAUUUACUGGCUACAACGUGGUCGCGCAAACUAG